rnacentral:lncRNA from 1 species
UGACAUCAACAGCCACCUGACAUGUGGAGCCAGGAACAGUGGCCCGACCUGACAUGUGAAACCAGCACUCCUGUUCAAAAGUAGCGCUUUGAUCGACGCGGCACACAUGAGCCGCCCCCGCCAGGGCUUCUCCAUACUGCAUCUUUUUCGAUCUGAUCGUUUUCAUCUUUUUUUUUCGAGGAGUGUUUUCCUGUUUAUUUUGUCCGAAGCUGACAAAUUAGCUGGUCGUAUUAGUACGUGUGAUCUGGAUGAUGACCUUCUUGGAAAGCUAUGUUUACCUCUUGGUGUACACGAAGAGCCGCUGGAUUUGGAAUCAAUUGAUUCACUGACCCCAUCCUGUCGAACCGAUGGCCGGAUCCCGCCGCCCCCCGUGCGCCUCGCCUGCACCUCGGCCGGAUCCCGCCGUCCCUGCACUUUACCUAAGCAGCUCCGUCCCUGCACUUUACCUAAGCAGCCCCGCCGCACCCUUGCACCUCGCGUGAGAAGCUCCGAGGGAUCCAGCCACCCGUGCACCUCUCCUAAGCAGGCAGCUCCACCGGAUCCCACCGCCACCUGGGCUCCCUGUUCCAGCCCCUUUCAGUGGUUUUGUGAUUGUUCUACUCCGUAUGUUUGUUGUACAGUAGACACAUGCACAGAAUGUUGUGAAGAUUUUAUUUCCUGCAAAUGUUGUCAUAUGUUUGUUAUAAUCACUCCAACGAUACAAAAUAUUGUGCAUAAAACAAAUCAAAGCUGAAUUCCUCAGUUUGUCCAUUCAAACAUGAUUUGGAAUUUGUGUCUUCCUUGAAUUCCAGGAGCAAAUUCAACUAACAACCAAACAAUAGAAUUGGAAUUUAGGCUGAAUUAAGUUUCCUUGUG